AUUGAACGCUGGCGGCAGGCCUAACACAUGCAAGUCGAACGAGUGGCGGACGGGUGAGUAAUGUCUGGGAAACUGCCUGAUGGAGCGGGAUAACUACUGGAAACGGUAGCUAAUCCCGCAUACCAUCGAAUGUGCCCAGAUUGGAUUAGCUAGUAGGUGGGGUAAAGGCUCACCUAGGCGAAGAGCCCUAGCUGGUCUGAGAGGAGGACCAGCCACACGGGGACUGAGACACGGUCCAGACUCCUACGGGAGGAAGCAGUGGGGAAUAUUGCACAAUGGGCGCAAGCCUGAUGCAGCCAUGCGGCGUGUAUGAAGAAGGCCUUCGGGUUGUAAAGUUCUUUCAGCGGGGAGGCGUUACCCGCAGAAGAAGCACCGGCUAACUCCGUGCCAGCAGCCGCGGUAAUUC
rnacentral:rRNA from 1 species